rnacentral:rRNA from 1 species
CAGGUGGUCGGGUAGAGAAUACCAAGGCGCUUGAGAGAACUCGGGUGAAGGAACUAGGCAAAAUGGUACCGUAACUUCGGGAGAAGGUACGCUCUUGAUGGUGAAGUCCCUUGCGGAUGGAGCUGACGAGAGUCGCAGAUACCAGGUGGCUGCAACUGUUUAUUAAAAACACAGCACUGUGCAAAAUCGUAAGAUGACGUAUACGGUGUGACGCCUGCCCGGUGCCGGAAGGUUAAUUGAUGGGGUUAGACUUAGGUCGAAGCUCUUGAUCGAAGCCCCGGUAAACGGCGGCCGUAACUAUAACGGUCCUAAGGUAGCGAAAUUCCUUGUCGGGUAAGUUCCGACCUGCACGAAUGGCGUAAUGAUGGCCACGCUGUCUCCACCCGAGACUCAGUGAAAUUGAAAUCGCUGUGAAGAUGCAGUGUACCCGCGGCUAGACGGAAAGACCCCGUGAACCUUUACUACAGCUUGGCACUGAACAUUGACCCUACAUGUGUAGGAUAGGUGGGAGGCUUUGAAGCACAGUCGCUAGAUUGUGUGGAGCCGUCCUUGAAAUACCACCCUUGUAGUGUUGAUGUUCUAACGUCGACCCCUUAUCGGGGUUGCGGACAGUGCCUGGUGGGUAGUUUGACUGGGGCGGUCUCCUCCCAAAGAGUAACGGAGGAGCACGAAGGUGGGCUAAUCACGGUUGGACAUCGUGAGGUUAGUGCAAUGGCAUAAGCCCGCUUGACUGCGAGAAUGACAAUUCGAGCAGGUGCGAAAGCAGGUCAUAGUGAUCCGGUGGUUCUGUAUGGAAGGGCCAUCGCUCAACGGAUAAAAGGUACUCCGGGGAUAACAGGCUGAUACCGCCCAAGAGUUCAUAUCGACGGCGGUGUUUGGCACCUCGAUGUCGGCUCAUCACAUCCUGGGGCUGAAGUCGGUCCCAAGGGUAUGGCUGUUCGCCAUUUAAAGUGGUACGCGAGCUGGGUUUAGAACGUCGUGAGACAGUUCGGUCCCUAUCUGCCGUGGGCGUUGGAAGAUUGAAGGGGGCUGCUCCUAGUACGAGAGGACCGGAGUGGACGAACCUCUGGUGUUCGGGUUGUGUCGCCAGACGCAUUGCCCGGUAGCUAAGUUCGGAAUCGAUAACCGCUGAAAGCAUCUAAGCGGGAAGCGAGCCCUGAGAUGAGUCUUCCCUGAUACUUUAAGUAUCCUAAAGGGUUGUUCGAGACUAGAACGUUGAUAGGCAGGGUGUGUAAGCGUUGUGAGGCGUUGAGC